rnacentral:rRNA from 1 species
AUUGAACGCUGGCGGCAGGCCUAACACAUGCAAGUCGCACGAGUGGCGGACGGGUGAGUCCUGUCUGGGAAACUGCCUGCUGGAGGGGGAUAACUCCUGGAAACGGUAGCUAAUACCGCAUACCAUCAGAUGCGCCCAGAUGGGAUUAGCUUGUUGGGGGGGUAACGGCUCACCAAGGCGACGAUCCCUAGCUGGUCUGCGAGGAUGACCAGCCACACUGGAACUGGGACACGGUCCAGACUACUACGGGAGGCAGCAGGGGGGAAUAUUGCACAAUGGGCGCAAGCCUGAUGCAGCCAUGCCGCGUGUAUGAAGAGGGCCUUCGGGUUGUAAAGUACUUUCAGCGGGGAGGCGUUACCCGCAGAAGAAGCACCGGCUAACUCCGUGCCAGCAGCCGCGGUAAUUC